ACUCAGCUGACGAGUCCCAAGUGAGACAAAACGCGCGUCCUGGAU
rfam:Schistosoma mansoni strain Puerto Rico chromosome 1, complete genome